rnacentral:misc_RNA from 1 species
UCCGACUUAACGUCGGCAGUCUCGCCAGAGUGCUCAGCUUUCCUGUUAGCAACUGACGACAGAGGUUGCGCUCGUUGCGGGACUUAACCCAACAUCUCACGACACGAGCUGACGACAGCCAUGCAGCACCGUCUCACGGUUCCCGAAGGCACCCCUCCAUCUCUGGAAGGUUCCGGUGGAUUUAACCCAGGUAAGGUUCUGCGCGUUGCGUCGAAUUGAACCACAUGCUCCACCGCUUGUGCGGGCCCCCGUCAAUUCCUUUGAGUUUCAGUCUUGCGACCGUACUCCCCAGGCGGCGAACUUAACGCGUUAGCUUCGACACUGAUCUCCGAGUUGAGACCAACAUCCAGUUCGCAUCGUUUAGGGCGUGGACUAC